rnacentral:rRNA from 1 species
GACAGAGGGUGCUAGCGUUGUUCGGAAUUACUGGGCGUAAAGGGCGCGUAGGCGGCUUGUUUAGUCGGGUGUGAAAUCCCGGGGCUCAACCCCGGAACUGCAUUCGAUACUGGCAGGCUAGAGACCGGAAGAGGUGGGUGGAAUACCCAGUGUAGAGGUGAAAUUCGUAGAUAUUGGGUGGAACACCGGUGGCGAAGGCGGCUCACUGGUCCGGUUCUGACGCUGAGGCGCGAAGGCGUGGGGAGCGAACAGG